rnacentral:lncRNA from 1 species
AUGCAACUGAUCAGAGACCUAGUGACUGGUAAAAUUAGGAACACAGAAGGCAGCAUUUGGUGCCAAUGGACAUUGUUAAAUAAUCAGAGCUGGUUUUUUAAUCAGACACAGAACCGCAAGAAUGGCAUCAGUGGUGGUAGUGAUGAUGGUCACCUCUUCAAGAAGGAAGGACCCAGAGGACCAUAAGCAAGAUUAAAAUGGAAAUGAUAAACUGGAUAAAUAGUUGCAAUAAGUAGCACAAAGGGCUAACCUCCUUAAUGUGGAAAGAAGUCCUAGAAAUGGAGAAGACAAGAAUAAUCAGCCCGUAGAAAAAUGAGAAAAGCAAAUACACAUAGAGUGCACAGAAGGAAAAAGAGAAAUAAAAUGUCACUUUAAAAAAUGAAAUGAGGGUAC